AGCUGGUGCCACAGCGAUGAGCUUCAACUACCCAAAUAUGUCCGGCAAUGAAACCCAGUACUUGGCAUUUUUGCAGAACAGUGCAUACCCAAUUCCAAUUCCUGCACAUGUAGGGGCGGCGCCAGCUUAUCGNNNGGGGGCAAUGCCUUUUUUCAAUGGUUCUUUCUAUUCUUCUCAAAUGAUCCAUUCUCCUCAGCUUCAGCAACAGCAGCCACCAGUCCCCCACUCUCAACAAGGCCAACAGGGUCAUCAC
rnacentral:misc_RNA from 1 species